rnacentral:rRNA from 1 species
GACGAACGCUGGCGGCGUGCUUAACACAUGCAAGUCGAACGCUGAAGCUCAGCUUUUGUUGGGUGGAUGAGUGGCGAACGGGUGAGUAACACGUGAGUAACCUGCCCCCUUCUUUGGGAUAACGCCCGGAAACGGGUGCUAAUACUGGAUAUUCACUGGUCUUCGCAUGGGGGUUGGUGGAAAGGGUUUUUCUGGUGGGGGAUGGGCUCGCGGCCUAUCAGCUUGUUGGUGGGGUGAUGGCCUACCAAGGCUUUGACGGGUAGCCGGCCUGAGAGGGUGACCGGUAACAUUGGGACUGAGAUACGGCCCAGACUCCUACGGGAGGCGGCAGUGGGGAAUAUUGCACAAUGGGCGCAAGCCUGAUGCAGCGACGCCGCGUGAGGGAUGGAGGCCUUCGGGUUGUGAACCUCUUUCGCUCAUGGUCAAGCCGCAACAAUGGUUGUGGUGAGGGUAGUGGGUAAAGAAGCGCCGGCUAACUACGUG